rnacentral:rRNA from 1 species
AGUGAACGCUGGCGGUAGGCCUAACACAUGCGAGUCGAACGGCAGCACAGUAAGAGCUUGCUCUUACGGGUGGCGAGUGGCGGACGGGUGAGGAAUACAUCGGAAUCUACUUUUUCGUGGGGGAUAACGUAGGGAAACUUACGCUAAUACCGCAUACGACCUACGGGUGAAAGCAGGGGAUCUUCGGACCUUGCGCGAUUGAAUGAGCCGAUGUCGGAUUAGCUAGUUGGCGGGGUAAAGGCCCACCAAGGAGACGAUCCGUAGCUGGUCUGAGAGGAUGAUCAGCCACACUGGAACUGAGACACGGUCCAGACUCCUACGGGAGGCAGCAGUGGGGAAUAUUGGACAAUGGGCGCAAGCCUGAUCCAGCCAUACCGCGUGGGUGAAGAAGGCCUUCGGGUUGUAAAGCCCUUUUGUUGGGAAAGAAAAGCAGCAGGUUAAUACCCCGCUGUUCUGACGGUACCCAAAGAAUAAGCACCGGCUAACUUCGUG